rnacentral:lncRNA from 10 species
AGACCUGACUGGGUGGUUGAGGGAGCUCCUGGUGAAAUGUGCUGAGGCUUCUGCUGAGGUUUCUACCUCAGCUCCACGGCCUGGCCAGGUAGGAAUGCAAUUCACCUUCCUGUCAUGUUUCUGUCCUGGCACUCCAGACAUUCGGGUCAGACAGACCUCACUAUCUCCAAGCUGCAGUGAAUCUGAGAGCCAUGAAAGUUCAAUGGAUUGAAGAAAAUGUUCACGGAAGGAAGAUGAUUAAUUGAUCCAGAGGGCCUGUAGCAACUCUGUUUAACAUGCUAGAUGAGCCAGUCUUAUUCAGUGAUGACUAAGGAUCUAGAGAAAACUGGUGUCAGGUUGGUCUUCUUCUUCCCACCUAUUUUCAGUUGGCCUGCAGUUCCUAGGAUGUGUAUCCUGUAUGCUGGUCACCGGAAGAUAGGCAAAUUUUUGCUUUGUUGCUGGUUCUGGGACAACAGCCAUGAAUACAAAAGAUUAAAUGGAAGGCUCUGGAGCCCUGAGGAAUAGCAGUUACUAGACUGAAGGAACCUGAGUUUCUAGAUUGCGAUGUUGAGCAGAGUCCCUGCUAACCCAGGAAAACUCUGAUGUGAGAAAGAAGAAAACCCGGAUUGCACUAACUCACCGAGAUUUCGAAGUUUAGUUGUUCGGCGAUGAACUUGUCCUGAACAACAUAGAGGAACAGUGGGAAAUACAUGGAGUGUGCUUAUAAGAAGCUAUGGUAGGCAGGAUUUCAAGAUGUCCUUGUGAUCUCUGCCUCCUUGUGUUUCUCCCAUGACUAUGUCAUGUUCCACAGCAAAAGGGAUUUUGCAAUGUAUUAAGGGUACUGAACGGUUGACCUUAAGAUCGUGGGAUUAUCUGGGUGGGCCUAAUUUCAUCACAUGAGUCCUGUAAAAGAAGUGAAUUUUCUCUAUUUGGUAGCAGAAGAGGCAGUCAGAGACAUCUGAAGUGUGAGAGGGAUUCAGUGCUGAAAUGGAGAAGGUCACAUGGUAAGAACCUGAGAGUGGCUUCUGGUAGCUGAGAGUGAUCCUUGGCAAGAUAAUGGAACCUUAGUCCUAGAGCCUCAAGGAAAUUAAUUCUGCUGACAAUCUGAGGGAACUUUGAAGCAGAUCUUUUCCUAGUUGAGCCUCCAAGUAAGGAUUUAGCUAGCUAGCUGGUACUUUAAUUUGAGCCUUAUGAGUCUCUGAGCAGAGGACCCAGGGAAAUAAAGUCAGGCUCCUAAUGCAUGGUGAUGAUGACGUGAUAAGUGUGUUUUGUUAAGCUACUAAGUUUGUGGUAAUUUUUAAUGUAGCAAUAAAAAACUAAUGCAGAGAGUGAAAA